GAUGAACGCUGGCGGCGUGCCUAAUACAUGCAAGUCGAGCGAACAGACGAGGAGCUUGCUCCUCUGACGUUAGCGGCGGGCGGGUGAGUAACACGUGGAUAACCUACCUAUAAGACUGGGAUAACUUCGGGAAACCGGAGCUAAUACCGGAUAAUAUAUUGAACCGCAUGGUUCAAUAGUGAAAGACGGUUUUGCUGUCACUUAUAGAUGGAUCCGCGCCGCAUUAGCUAGUUGGUAAGGUAACGGCUUACCAAGGCAACGAUGCGUAGCCGACCUGAGAGGGUGAUCGGCCACACUGGAACUGAGACACGGUCCAGACUCCUACGGGAGGCAGCAGUAGGGAAUCUUCCGCAACGGGCGAAAGCCUGACGGAGCAACGCCGCGUGAGUGAUGAAGGUCUUCGGAUCGUAAAACUCUGUUAUUAGGGAAGAACAAAUGUGUAAGUAAUUAUGCACGUCUUGACGGUACCUAAUCAGAAAGCCACGGCUAACUACGUG
rnacentral:rRNA from 1 species